ensembl:lncRNA
AUUCACAGAGCUUUGAAUGGGACACGGAGCUAAGUCACUGUGUCUAUAUAUGAUGUGAAAUGGCAUCUCUACCUGCGAAGAACACGUUCUUGUCAGACCUACUGGUUAUUUUCAUGUAAGGAGAAGGGAUUGUGCGGGCCCAGCCUUAGCAUUUGUGCAGCUGCCGUGGGAUGCUGUUGGACAUGAAGAGACGCAGUGCUGACACCCYGCCUGCCCUCGGGGCUGUGGUGAUCCUGUCCUGAGCGCCCCACGGACCUUCCCCAGAGCUGUCCACAGCUGCCUGUGCUUUCCUUUCUGCAGAACUGCUGUCUCCUGCUUUUGGAAGAACUCCUAGCUGGCAGAGACUGACCCUGCCUCUGGUAAUACCUGCUGAGGAACGCCUUGCCAGAGGCCACCAGCGGAGAGCCCACCGGCAGCUCCUCCGCUGUGCCUGUCCAUGGCUUCCAGAUCUUGUCUCUAUGGCAACUGAGACGAUCCAUCAGCAGCUCCAUCAGCAGUGGAGCAGCAGAAGACAGGUAACCUCCAUAACUCCAUCGGCUUUAUCUGAGGCAGAGCUGGAAACAAACACACACAAACAAAAAACAAAGCAGAAAAAGAGAAAAAAGUUUCAGUUAAUUCAGAGACUGUAGUGCUUCGUCUGUGCAGGGUAAUGAAGACUUUGCAGGAUUUUUUGUUUGAGAUCAUUGUGAGUAAGGAGACCAUCCCACACCUUACAAGCCUUAUUCAAACGUCCUGAACAUUGCUUUGACGUGCACGUCACUGUCCUGUCAUGACAUGCUGUAGUAUUCCAGAUAUUAUUGAGAAAAUGACUGGAUUUGCUCAUUUAAUGACCACACCCUCUCGUCCCUCGUGAGCAAUAGAUUACCCGUUGAUUUAGAGUGGAUACAGGUAAUGGCUGUGUUCUUGUUUUUGAGGGUGAAAACUGUAAGGAAUAGAAAGUAAACGCUGAAGAGAGGGCUCUGUUAAUCUGUCCGUUAUCUGUGUAUUGCUCCCUGCGCUAUAAGAAUGAAUCCCUUUUACAGGGCUUGAUGGCUUCCUAUCACUUAUUAACAACGCUCGCUCCUGCGGUGCAGAUAAGUGAAGAAAAAUCCAUAACUGCCAUGACACUUGCUAGGUAGAAGAGAA